rnacentral:rRNA from 1 species
UCGAUGGAGAGUUUGAUCCUGGCUCAGGACGAACGCUGGCGGCGUGCUUAAUACAUGCAAGUCGAACGAGGUCCAUCCAGUUGAAAGACUGGUGAAGAUCUAGUGGCGAACGGGUGAGUAAC